GACGAACGCUGGCGGCGUGCUUAACACAUGCAAGUCGAACGGAAAGACCCUGCUUUUGUGCGGUGCUCGAGUGGCGCACGGGUGAGUAACACGUGAGUAACCUGCCCUUGACUUUGUGAUAACUUCAGGAAACUGGGGCUAAUACCGGAUAGGAGCUCCUGCUGCGUGGUGGGGGUUGGAAAGUUUCGGCGGUUGGGGAUGGACUCGCGGCUUAUCAGCUUGUUUGUGGGGUAGUGGCUUACCAAGGCUUUGACGGCUAGCCGGCCUGAGAGGGUGACCGGCCACAUUGGGACUGAGAUACGGACCAGACUCCUACGGGAGGCAGCAGUGGGGAAUAUUGCACAAUGGGCGGAAGCCUGAUGCAGAAACGCCGCGUGCGGGAUGACGGCUUUCGGGUGGUAAACCGAUUUCGCCUGUGACGAAGCGGGAGUGACGGUAAUGGGUAAAGAAGCACCGGCUAACUACGUG
rnacentral:rRNA from 1 species